rnacentral:rRNA from 1 species
ACUGCGAGUGAAGCGGGAUGAGCUCAAAUUUGUAAUCUGGCUUCGGCCCGAGUUGUAAACUAGAGAAGUGCUAUCAGGCAYCGACCGCGCURAAGUCCCUUGGAACAGGGUGUCAUAGAGGGUGAGAAUCCCGUGCUUGGCGUGGCUGCGGUGCUGUAGAGGCGCUCUCGACGAGUCGAGUUGUUUGGGAAUGCAGCUCAAAACGGGUGGUAAACUCCAUCUAAAGCUAAAUAUUGGCGAGAGACCGAUAGCGAACAAGUACCGUGAGGGAAAGAUGAAAAGGACUUUGGAAAGAGAGUUAAAGAGUACGUGAAAUUGCUGAAAGGGAAGCGCUUGGAGUGAGUCGCGCGGGCAGGAGUCAGCCGUCGAGGUGUAUUUCYUGCCUGCGGGUCAGCAUCGACUUUGGGCGGCGAWSAAGGGCGCGGGGAAUGUGGCACCCUCGGGUGUGUUAUAGCCCCGYGUCGUACGCGCCGUCCGGGGUCGAGGACCGCGGCGWAAGCCUAGGAUGCUGGCGUAAUGGCUUCAAGCGACCCGUCUUGAAACACGGACCAAGGAGUCUAACAUGCGUGCGAGUGUUUGGGUGNYAAACCCGGGCGCGYAAUGAAAGUAAACGGAGGUGGGAGGCKCGMGCCGCACCAUCGACCGGUCCGGAACUUCUGGGAUGGAUCUGAGUAAGAGCAUGUAUGUUGGGACCCGAAAGAUGGUGAACUAUGCCUGAAUAGGGCGAAGCCAGAGGAAACUCUGGUGGAGGCUCGUAGCGAUUCUGACGUGCAAAUCGAUCGUCAAAUUUGGGUAUAGGGGCGAAAGACUAAUCGAACCAUCUAGUAGCUGGU